rnacentral:lncRNA from 1 species
AGCCCUUAAAACUGCAACAACCAGAGGAGCAGCGACGAUCAGGCCUCCAUCUAAAGUGUCUGAAAAUAACAUGAACAAAAUCCAAAUGAGUUCACACUACUUGAUGUUUCACAAGUGUUAGCAACAACCAAAAGAAAAAUUGGCCCAAAACUUGACUAAACGUCUAGAAAGAAGCAUUUCAUCCACAUCUGAAACUUAAGAAAGAUCUCUGACCAAGGCCAAUAGCUUCUGAUCCUUUCCUUAUAAAAAACAAUAGGUGUUUUUUAGACAUAUAAGUGUUGGUUGCUUCUAAGUAAUAUGCGCCUUUUUUAAGAUGCGCACUCAAAUGUGUUAGACAAUGCUUAUUGGUUAUCAAGGUAGAGCAAUGUUGGCUGAUCAUGAACCAACCAGGGAUAGCUAGAAAAGAUGAUAAGAUCAUGAGCUAGCUGUGUGUACAUAUGAGAGAGAUGGUACCUUCAUGAUCUAGUCGAGCGACCUUGCCUCUCCUGAGAUUAUUGGUGAGGAUCAAAAGUAAGAAAUAUAUCCAUCAGUAAAAGGCCCAAACGGCUUCCUCCUAUGCAGUAUUACACCAUUAUUAUUAUUUGUGGGAAAGGUCUAGAGUUAUGGUAAAUAUCUCAUGUCUUCUAUUCUCAUGUAAAUAAGAAUUAUUGUGACCUUGAACCUUAGGCAUAUUGAUAACUCAACUCUUGCUUUUCUGCUUCAGAAUAUAUAUAAAGUUGUAUGCCUUUAUUUGUUAAAAUAAAAUCAAACUGAUUAUUUAUUGAUCAUUAACUAAUACCUCACUUAGAGAUACUACGUAUUGUUGCCAAAGUCUUAUUUUAAAUACAACCAAGAUGAACAGAAAUAAAUCUCAACUUACUUUUGGUGGAAACACACUUGUCUAAUUGAUCAUUCCUUGAGACAGUGAUCUGCUCAACAUAUCGCAAGUCGAUAUGCAACCACAUAAGUCAAGCAUCAGCAUCAAAACAACACGAGGAAUGAAAUGUUUGAUAUCUCAAACAGAGAGCAAUCAGUACUAUAGAUCUGUCGCUAACCAGCCUUCUGAUGCAUGCAUAUUUGUAUAACAUUGUCUGCACCAUUUAUGCUUUUCACGAUCCCUCAUUGCUGCAACACAUAUGCUGCUAAGCCAGAUCCAACUAAAUAAAUAAUACAUGUAUCUGUUUGAACU